rnacentral:rRNA from 1 species
AUGAACGCUGGCGGCGUGCCUAAUACAUGCCAGUCGAGCGAACGGACGAGAAGCUUGCUUCUCUGGUGUUAGCGGCGGACGGGUGAGUAACACGUGGAUAACCUACCUAUAAGACUGGGAUAACUUCGGGAAACCGGAGCUAAUACCGGAUAAUAUUUUGAACCGCAUGGUUCAAAAGUGAAAGACGGUCUUGCUGUCACUUAUAGAUGGAUCCGCGCUGCAUUAGCUAGUUGGUAAGGUAACGGCUUACCAAGGCAACGAUGCAUAGCCGACCUGAGAGGGUGAUCGGCCACACUGGAACUGAGACACGGUCCAGACUCCUACGGGAGGCAGCAGUAGGGAAUCUUCCGCAAUGGGCGAAAGCCUGACGGAGCAACGCCGCGUGAGUGAUGAAGGUCUUCGGAUCGUAAAACUCUGUUAUUAGGGAAGAACAUAUGUGUAAGUAACUGUGCACAUCUUGACGGUACCUAAUCAGAAAGCCACGGCUAACUACGUG